UUUUAACAGUACUGUACAUAAGAGGUUUUAACAUUUGGCUCUAAAAACAAAUGUUAAAACCUCUUUUAGGACCUGGGAAAGAUUCCUUUUGAGUGGCUGAACUGCUGUGUGGGUCUUAAUGCUGAUUUGUUAAACUUGGAAAGGACAACCAACAGCAUUUUUCUGACCUCUUGAUGUCAAAGCAUUUAAAUGCUGUUAGGAUAAUCUCAUUGUGAACCAAAGUGAUAAACUGACCAACUGCCUGAGAAGGCAAUGAUAUCCCCAGAGUCCUGCUGCCAUUGUGGCCAGAAGUAAUGUUUUUCUCUGACAGUCUUUCUACAGCCAACCACCUCUGCCAUCACUGUGGAAACUGUGGAAACAAAUUCAACACAUCCAUCUGCCAAACAUGUUAAAGGUGCUGAGGUCACCACCUACAGAAACAAACCCAGUUCUUCAGAGGAAGCAACAGUUGGUGUAGAUAUUUAUGAAAAUCAAGAAGUUGUUCAGAACUCAAAGCCAAUGAAAUCCAGACAGCAGAGUGCCUGUCUGCAGUAUGACGACGUAGGUGAAGACCAACCAGACUAUGAAAACAUCACAGAAGACAUCUACUGUAACCAAAGUUUCCAUCGAGCCUAUAACAGAUGAACUGUUUGUACUGUUUUUAGCAUGAACAACAGCACAACACAGAUUCAUGUACCACUGCAAUCUGACAAUUACAUCCUCUAACUGAAGACUUUGUUGGUCUUUGUGACCCAGAUUUGUUUUAUUAUUAACUGAAGAUAUAAUUGAAUAUGUACAUAUUCAUGGUUUUAACUCUUUAAACUUUUGCCUUUGCAUUAAUCUUCUUCAGUCUGUACUCCUUGUAUCCAAUUGUGGAUAUUAUGUAAAAUUUCAACCAUACAACUUAAAUGUUAAUUACCUAUUUGUAUAUAAUAAAAGUAAAUAAGUAAAGAGAUGAUAA
ensembl:lncRNA